GAGUUGAAGGCAGCUGGCGCUUCUUGGAUUCAGCUUGACGAACCUACGCUUGUGUUGGAUCUAGAGGCUCACAAAUUGGAAGCAUUCACCAAGGCCUAUGCUGACCUAGAGUCAUCUCUAUCUGGCCUUAAUGUUAUCGUUGAGACCUACUUUGCUGACGUUCCUGCUGAGGCAUUCAAAACCCUCACUGCUUUGAAAGGAGUUACCGGAUUUGGCUUUGACUUGGUCCGUGGAACUCAGACCCUCGAUUUAAUCAAGGGUGGUUUCCCUUCCGGCAAGUACUUGUUUGCUGGAGUUGUUGACGGAAGGAACAUUUGGGCUAAUGAUCUUGCUGCAUCUCUUAACCUCCUGCAAUCUCUUGAGGGCAUUGUAGGAAAAGGUAAUGUAUUUCCUAUCUCAUCACUUGAUAGUUGGUAGUGAUUUUGUUGCAGGAAAUGAUCAAUUUUUUCUUUCAAUUAUGCAGACAAGCUUGUUGUCUCUACAUCUUGCUCCCUACUCCACACUGCUGUUGAUCUAGUCAAUGAGCCAAAGCUAGACGAUGAAAUCAAAUCAUGGCUCGCAUUUGCUGCCCAAAAGGUUGUUGAAGUAAAUGCUUUAGCCAAGGCAUUGGCUGGUGCCAAGGAUGAGGUAUAGUUCGUUCUUAACUUAAAGGUCUUUAAAAAAUCACUUCGGGAAAUGAGUCUUUUUUACUUAAUACUCUCGACAAAGUUUUUUGCAUAUCACGGCUAAAUGUGUUCAUUGUACUUUCAGGCAUUUUUCUCUGCCAAUGCUGCUGCUCAAGCUUCCAGAAAGUCCUCCCCAAGAGUGACAAAUGAAGCUGUUCAAAAGGCUGUAAGUGUUGAACUGAAGGAUCGUCUUCUCUUUCUAAUGACUUGUAUCAUAUUGUACUUACUACUUUUUACUCUUGUGAUAUCUCAGUCCGCUGCUCUUCAAGGAUCUGACCACCACCGUGCUACAAAUGUUAGUGCUAGACUUGAUGCCCAACAAAAGAAACUUAACCUACCAAUUCUGCCUACAACCACCAUUGGAUCCUUCCCUCAGACAGUGGAGCUUAGAAGAGUUCGUCGUGAAUACAAGGCCAAGAAGUCAGUGUUAUACUUGCUUUCUGCUUCUUACUGUUGGUGCUGUUGAACAUCUCAUCUCAUAAUUCAUUUAUUUAUAGGAUCUCCGAGGAGGAAUAUGUUAAAGCCAUCAAGGAGGAAAUCAAGAAGGUUGUCGAUCUCCAAGAAGAGCUUGACAUUGAUGUCUUGGUUCACGGAGAGCCUGAGGUAGGACAAUUACCUACUUAACUUACAUGCAUAUGCAUGUAUUAGCAUCUUUUCUGUCCAUAUACACACGCUCGCAUGCGUAAAUAUGGAUUGGUAAGUUUGAAUGCUUGAUGUAUGCAGAGGAACGAUAUGGUUGAGUACUUUGGAGAGCAGCUAUCUGGUUUUGCCUUCACUGCUAAUGGAUGGGUUCAAUCGUAUGGAUCUCGAUGUGUGAAGCCACCUAUCAUCUAUGGUGAUGUGAGCCGCCCAAAGCCAAUGACUGUCUUCUGGUCCUCAGCUGCUCAGAAUAUGACCAAGAGGCCAAUGAAGGGAAUGCUUACCGGCCCUGUCACCAUUCUCAACUGGUCUUUUGUCAGAAAUGACCAGCCAAGGUAACUUCAAUUUAUACCCUCCUCCUAAUUUGAGUUUUAUACCUUCUCCGAUUAUGUUUAUAAUGUUUACCAUCAUUGCUUUUUCUAGGUUUGAGACCUGCUACCAGAUUGCAUUGGCCAUUAAGGAUGAAGUGGAGGAUUUGGAGAAGGCAGGAAUCACUGUGAUCCAAAUCGAUGAAGCUGCUUUGAGAGAAGGCUUGCCUCUGAGGAAGUCUGAACACGCAUUCUACUUGAAUUGGGCUGUC
rnacentral:lncRNA from 1 species